rnacentral:rRNA from 1 species
CCUACGGGUGGCUGCAGUGGGGAAUAUUGCACAAUGGGGGGAACCCUGAUGCAGCAACGCCGCGUGGGUGAAGAAGUACUCCGGUAUGUAAAGCCCUGUCAGCAGGGACGAAAAUGACGGUACCUUACCAAGACGCCCCGGCUAACUACGUUCCAGCAGCCGCGGUAAUACGUAGGGGGCAAGCGUUAUCCGGAUUUACUGGGUGUAAAGGGAGCGUAGACGGCAAGGCAAGUCUGGGGUGAAAGCCCGUGGCCCAACCACGGGACUGCCGUGGAAACUGUGUUUCUGGAGUGCAGGAGGGGUAAGCGGAAUUCCUAGUGUAGCGGUGAAAUGCGUAGAUAUUAGGUGGAACACCGGUGGCGAAGGCGGCUUACUGGACUGUAACUGACGCUGAGGCUCGAAGGCGUGGGGAGCAAACGGGAUUAGAUACCCCUGUAGUC